GCCAUUUGGAAGCAGCAAGUUCUCCUGGAAGGUGAACUGAGUUAGUGGGGAAGGAAGCACCAAAGGUCAGAGCCAAAGGAGGGUCGGUCCUGCUGUGGUGCUGUUUCUGGCUUUAGCAGGGGACCCAGAGUCCCAGUGAGGCCGUGCAGGUGGAAGGACAGGGAUGUGGAUGGGAUGUGGGGCACAAGAUCCCUCCCCAAGGAUGUGGAGCUGCAUUCAGGACACAAACCCACCCCUUGGAAAGCUGGACAGCAAAGGUUCUUCUCAGUUAAAAACACAACUCAUAAAACAAGACAACUACCAGAUUUCCUUCCUUCAGAAGUGUGGGAGCCUCAUGCCCAGGGAGUGACUGCUUUUCCCUGGACACAAAAAGGAAAACCCACGGUGUGCUCAGCUGAGUCUUGGGGGACAACAGCUGGCCAUGGACAUGUUGCUGUUUUUUGGGGGGGUUAUAAAGGGAGAGAAAUUUCUCAUAGAUCAGGGGGAAAAACCCAAACAAGCAAAAUUUCCAAAGCCAGGCUCCCAUGA
rnacentral:lncRNA from 1 species